AAACUGCGAAUGGCUCAUUAAAUCAGUUAUCGUUUAUUUGAUAGUACCUUACUACUUGGAUAACCGUGGUAAUUCUAGAGCUAAUACAUGCUAAAAACCCCGACUUCGGAAGGGGUGUAUUUAUUAGAUAAAAAACCAACGCCCUUCGGGGCUUCUUGGUGAUUCAUGAUAACUUAACGAAUCGCAUGGCCUUGCGCCGGCGAUGGUUCAUUCAAAUUUCUGCCCUAUCAACUUUCGAUGGUAGGAUAGUGGCCUACCAUGGUAUCAACGGGUAACGGGGAAUUAGGGUUCUAUUCCGGAGAGGGAGCCUGAGAAACGGCUACCACAUCCAAGGAAGGCAGCAGGCGCGCAAAUUACCCAAUCCCGACACGGGGAGGUAGUGACAAUAAAUACUGAUACAGGGCUCUUUUGGGUCUUGUAAUCGGAAUGAGUACAAUUUAAAUCCCUUAACGAGGAACAAUUGGAGGGCAAGUCUGGUGCCAGCAGCCGCGGUAAUUCCAGCUCCAAUAGCGUAUAUUAAAGUUGUUGCAGUUAAAAAGCUCGUAGUUGAACCUUGGGCCUGGCUGGCCGGUCCGCCUCACCGCGUGCACUGGUUCGGCCGGGCCUUUCCUUCUGGGGAGCCGCAUGCCCUUCACUGGGUGUGUCGGGGAACCAGGACUUUUACUUUGAAAAAAUUAGAGUGUUCAAAGCAGGCCUUUGCUCGGAUACAUUAGCAUGGAAUAAUAGAAUAGGACGUGCGGUCCUAUUUUGUUGGUUUCUAGGACCGCCGUAAUGAUUAAUAGGGAUAGUCGGGGGCAUCAGUAUUCAAUUGUCAGAGGUGAAAUUCUUGGAUUUAUUGAAGACUAACUACUGCGAAAGCAUUUGCCAAGGAUGUUUUCAUUAAUCAGUGAACGAAAGUUAGGGGAUCGAAGACGAUCAGAUACCGUCGUAGUCUUAACCGUAAACUAUGCCGACUAGGGAUCGGGCGAUGUUAUCAUUUUGACUCGCUCGGCACCUUACGAGAAAUCAAAGUCUUUGGG
rnacentral:rRNA from 1 species